CUGUCACUCCAAGUAAUUUGUCGAUAGCAACUGUUUUUGAAAUUGUUUCAUGGUCAAGAAAUGGAAACAUCUCACUGAUAUGCUGUAGCUGUGAUGUCGCUGUCUCGCCAUCACUAGGACUUUGCUCCAAACACCUGGUUCCUGAAUAUUGUGUUGGCAAGCAUGAUGGACUACUGAAAGAUGAUGGCUGAGGAAUGUAGUUUCUUAUAUCAUAGGAUGAGACAGAUU